AUUGAACGCUGGUUUCAGGCCUAACACAUGCAAGUCGAGCGGUAGCACAGAGAGCUUGCUCUCGGGUGACGAGCGGCGGACGGGUGAGUAAUGUCUGGGAAACUGCCUGAUGGAGGGGGAUAACUACUGGAAACGGUAGCUAAUACCGCAUAACGUCGCAAGACCAAAGUGGGGGACCUUCGGGCCUCAUGCCAUCAGAUGUGCCCAGAUGGGAUUAGCUAGUAGGUGGGGUAAUGGCUCACCUAGGCGACGAUCCCUAGCUGGUCUGAGAGGAUGACCAGCCACACUGGAACUGAGACACGGUCCAGACUCCUACGGGAGGCAGCAGUGGGGAAUAUUGCACAAUGGGCGCAAGCCUGAUGCAGCCAUGCCGCGUGUGUGAAGAAGGCCUUCGGGUUGUAAAGCACUUUCAGCGGGGAGGAAGGCGAUAAGGUUAAUAACCUCAUCGAUUGACGUUACCCGCAGAAGAAGCACCGGCUAACUCCGUGCCAGCAGCCGCGGUAAUACGGAGGGUGCAAGCGUUAAUCGGAAUUACUGGGCGUAAAGCGCACGCAGGCGGUCUGUCAAGUCGGAUGUGAAAUCCCCGGGCUCAACCUGGGAACUGCAUUCGAAACUGGCAGGCUAGAGUCUUGUAGAGGGGGGUAGAAUUCCAGGUGUAGCGGUGAAAUGCGUAGAGAUCUGGAGGAAUACCGGUGGCGAAGGCGGCCCCCUGGACAAAGACUGACGCUCAGGUGCGAAAGCGUGGGGAGCAAACAGGAUUAGAUACCCUGGUAGUCCACGCCGUAAACGAUGUCGAUUUGGAGGUUGUGCCCUUGAGGCGUGGCUUCCGGAGCUAACGCGUUAAAUCGACCGCCUGGGGAGUACGGCCGCAAGGUUAAAACUCAAAUGAAUUGACGGGGGCCCGCACAAGCGGUGGAGCAUGUGGUUUAAUUCGAUGCAACGCGAAGAACCUUACCUGGUCUUGACAUCCACAGAACUUUCCAGAGAUGGAUUGGUGCCUUCGGGAACUGUGAGACAGGUGCUGCAUGGCUGUCGUCAGCUCGUGUUGUGAAAUGUUGGGUUAAGUCCCGCAACGAGCGCAACCCUUAUCCUUUGUUGCCAGCGGUCCGGCCGGGAACUCAAAGGAGACUGCCAGUGAUAAACUGGAGGAAGGUGGGGAUGACGUCAAGUCAUCAUGGCCCUUACGACCAGGGCUACACACGUGCUACAAUGGCAUAUACAAAGAGAAGCGACCUCGCGAGAGCAAGCGGACCUCAUAAAGUAUGUCGUAGUCCGGAUUGGAGUCUGCAACUCGACUCCAUGAAGUCGGAAUCGCUAGUAAUCGUAGAUCAGAAUGCUACGGUGAAUACGUUCCCGGGCCU
rnacentral:rRNA from 1 species